GUCGAACGCUGGCGGCGUGCUUAACACAUGCAAGUCGAACGAAGUGGCGGACGGGUGAGUAACGCGUAAUCAACCUGCCCUUCAGAGGGGGACAACAGUUGGAAACGUCUGCUAAUACCGCAUACUGAUGGCGGGGUAUGCGUCGGAUUAGCUAGUUGGAGGGGUAACGGCCCACCAAGGCGAUGAUCAGUAGCCUGUCGGAGAGGAUGAACGGCCACAUUGGGACUGAUACACGGCCCAGACUCCUACGGGAGGCAGCAGUGGGGAAUCUUCCGCAAUGGACGAAAGUCUGACGAAGCAACGCCGCGUGAGUGAUGACGGCCUUCGGGUUGUAAAGCUCUGUUAAUCGGGACGCGGUACCGGAAUAGAAAGCCACGGCUAACUACGUGCCAGCAGCCGCGGUAAUUC
rnacentral:rRNA from 1 species